UACGUAGGGAGCAAGCGUUGUCCGGAAUCAUUGGGCGUAAAGCGCGCGUAGGUGGCCACAUAAGUCCGUUGUGAAAGUCAAAGGCUCAACCUUUGAAAGCCGAUGGAUACUGUGUGGCUUGAGUAUGGAAGAGGGUCGCGGAAUUCCCGGUGUAGAGGUGAAAUUCGUAGAUAUCGGGAGGAACACCAGUGGCGAAGGCGGCGACCUGGGCCAAUACUGACGCUGAUGCGCGAAAGCGUGGGGAGCAAACAGG
rnacentral:rRNA from 1 species